rnacentral:rRNA from 1 species
AUGAACGCUAGCGACAGGCUUAACACAUGCAAGUCGAGGGGCAGCACAGGUAGCAAUACCGGGUGGCGACCGGCGCACGGGUGAGUAACGCGUAUGCAACUUGCCUAUCAGAGGGGGAUAACCCGGCGAAAGUCGGACUAAUACCGCAUGAAGCAGGGGCCCCGCAUGGGGAUAUUUGCUAAAGAUUCAUCGCUGAUAGAUAGGCAUGCGUUCCAUUAGGCAGUUGGCGGGGUAACGGCCCACCAAACCGACGAUGGAUAGGGGUUCUGAGAGGAAGGUCCCCCACAUUGGUACUGAGACACGGACCAAACUCCUACGGGAGGCAGCAGUGAGGAAUAUUGGUCAAUGGCCGAGAGGCUGAACCAGCCAAGUCGCGUGAGGGAUGAAGGUUCUAUGGAUCGUAAACCUCUUUUAUAAGGGAAUAAAGUGCGGGACGUGUCCCGUUUUGUAUGUACCUUAUGAAUAAGGAUCGGCUAACUCCGUGCCAGCAGCCGCGGUAAUACGGAGGAUCCGAGCGUUAUCCGGAUUUAUUGGGUUUAAAGGGUGCGUAGGCGGCCUUUUAAGUCAGCGGUGAAAGUCUGUGGCUCAACCAUAGAAUUGCCGUUGAAACUGGGGGGCUUGAGUAUGUUUGAGGCAGGCGGAAUGCGUGGUGUAGCGGUGAAAUGCAUAGAUAUCACGCAGAACCCCGAUUGCGAAGGCAGCCUGCCAAGCCAUGACUGACGCUGAUGCACGAAAGCGUGGGGAUCAAACAGGAUUAGAUACCCUGGUAGUCCACGCAGUAAACGAUGAUCACUAGCUGUUUGCGAUACACAGUAAGCGGCACAGCGAAAGCGUUAAGUGAUCCACCUGGGGAGUACGCCGGCAACGGUGAAACUCAAAGGAAUUGACGGGGGCCCGCACAAGCGGUGGAGCAUGUGGUUUAAUUCGAUGCAACGCGAAGAACCUUACCUGGUCUUGACAUCCACGGAAGUUUUCAGAGAUGAGAAUGUGCCUUCGGGAACCGUGAGACAGGUGCUGCAUGGCUGUCGUCAGCUCGUGUUGUGAAAUGUUGGGUUAAGUCCCGCAACGAGCGCAACCCUUGCCACUAGUUACUAACAGGUGAUGCUGAGGACUCUGGUGGGACUGCCAGCGUAAGCUGCGAGGAAGGCGGGGAUGACGUCAAAUCAGCACGGCCCUUACAUCCGGGGCGACACACGUGUUACAAUGGCGUGGACAAAGGGAGGCCACCUGGCGACAGGGAGCGAAUCCCCAAACCACGUCUCAGUUCGGAUCGGAGUCUGCAACCCGACUCCGUGAAGCUGGAUUCGCUAGUAAUCGCGCAUCAGCCAUGGCGCGGUGAAUACGUUCCCGGGCCUUGUACACACCGCCCGUCAAGCCAUGGGAGCCGGGGGUACCUGAAGUCCGUAACCGCGAGGAUCGGCCUAGGGUAAAACUGGUGACUGGGGCU